rfam:Planctomycetes bacterium SCN 63-9 ABS79_C0214, whole genome shotgun sequence.
GCCGGCGUGGCGGAAUGGCAGACGCUGAGGACUUAAAAUCCUUUGGGGGGGAACCCCCGUGUGGGUUCAAAUCCCACCGCCGGUA